AUCAACUUUAACCUUGUGUUCAGUGUGACUGCAUCACCUGUGAUUGUGUUACCACUCAUGAUUCAACAGUUAGUUCCAACCACGUAAUUUGAUUGGACGAGAGGUAUUCCUUCAUACAACAGCACUGGGACUUUUAACUUAUUGUAUCACUCCGCUUCACCGGUGUUCUUUUAACCGUUAAUUAGCGUUACCUUAACGGUCGUUAUCUGUCUUAGAUUGUAAAAAAAAAAACUUAGCAAAGAUGAAAAUAUUUCCAGAAAUAAUAUUUGGAUUAAAUGAAGUAUGGUGGCCAGAAGAGGAUGAAGGGAAGAAGUCUGGAUACUUCAGCGCACUCCUGAGGUGACGCAGGUCUUCAGUGCAGAGCUCACAGCUGCUGAGGUGAAGCUCCAGGAGGACUGAUGACUGCAAAGCGUCCAGGAGCAGAGCCGAGCGACCGCUGACCACCUUACACCAGGAAACAUCCACGCUGCGGAGUUUCACCAGCAGCAGAUCUCCUACCGAGAGUCUGGAGGCAGUCCGUCAUCAGACCGCAGGCCUGUAACCGCAGCACAGUGAGGGAGGCGGCGUGAGAGAGAGACGUGGCCAGUUCCCUGAAGCCACCAUCGUCCACUUCCUGUGCGAGCUGAGGGUUACAGGAGACGUCCAGCACGCUGAGUCCAGGCAGAGCAGACACUGUUCCUCCUGAGAGGACAGACAACAUCCCACCCAGUGCAGUGAUGUCAUCAGCGUUCAGCCUGCAGCUGCAGAGCCUCAGCGUCCUGAUCCCGCCCACAUGAUGGAGGUGAGAGGUCAGCGCUUU